CUUGGUCAUUUAGAGGAAGUAAAAGUCGUAACAAGGUUUCCGUAGGUGAACCUGCGGAAGGAUCAUUAAUGAAUUCUGAGAGGGGUUGUAGCUGGCCGUUUCGUUUGAGCGGCAUGUGCACGCCCUGAUCAUUAUCCAUCUCACACACCUGUGCACAUACUGUAGGUCGGCUUUUGAUUGGAGUGGGGUCUUCAUCGACUCUGCUUUUUAGUUGGGGCCUUCCUAUGUUUUAUCACACACUACUUCAGUUUAAAGAAUGUCCUCUUGCGUCUAACGCAUUUAAAUACAACUUUCAGCAACGGAUCUCUUGGCUCUCGCAUCGAUGAAGAACGCAGCGAAAUGCGAUAAGUAAUGUGAAUUGCAGAAUUCAGUGAAUCAUCGAAUCUUUGAACGCACCUUGCGCUCCUUGGUAUUCCGAGGAGCAUGCCUGUUUGAGUGUCAUGGAAUUCUCAACUCUAUUUGCUUUUGUGAAUAGAGCUUGGACUUGGAGGUUUAUUGCCGGUACCUGUGAUCGGCUCCUCUUGAAUGCAUUAGCUCGAACCUUUCCUUUUGUGGAUCAGCUUAUCGGUGUGAUAAAAUGUCUACGCCGUUACUGUGAAGCAUAUUAUUCGGCUUCCAAUCGUCCUUCACGGGACAAUAACUUUGACCUUUGACCUCAAAUCAGGUAGGAUUACCCGCUGAACUUAAGCAUAUCAAUAAGCGGAGGA
rnacentral:rRNA from 1 species